rnacentral:rRNA from 1 species
AUGCUGGAGGUAUCAGAAGUGCGAAUGCUGACAUAAGUAACGAUAAAGCGGGUGAAAAGCCCGCUCGCCGGAAGACCAAGGGUUCCUGUCCAACGUUAAUCGGGGCAGGGUGAGUCGACCCCUAAGGCGAGGCCGAAAGGCGUAGUCGAUGGGAAACAGGUUAAUAUUCCUGUACUUGGUGUUACUGCGAAGGGGGGACGGAGAAGGCUAUGUUGGCCGGGCGACGGUUGUCCCGGUUUAAGCGUGUAGGCUGGUUUUCCAGGCAAAUCCGGAAAAUCAAGGCUGAGGCGUGAUGACGAGGCACUACGGUGCUGAAGCAACAAAUGCCCUGCUUCCAGGAAAAGCCUCUAAGCAUCAGGUAACAUCAAAUCGUACCCCAAACCGACACAGGUGGUCAGGUAGAGAAUACCAAGGCGCUUGAGAGAACUCGGGUGAAGGAACUAGGCAAAAUGGUGCCGUAACUUCGGGAGAAGGCACGCUGAUAUGUAGGUGAAGUCCCUCGCGGAUGGAGCUGAAAUCAGUCGAAGAUACCAGCUGGCUGCAACUGUUUAUUAAAAACACAGCACUGUGCAAACACGAAAGUGGACGUAUACGGUGUGACGCCUGCCCGGUGCCGGAAGGUUAAUUGAUGGGGUCAGCGCAAGCGAAGCUCUUGAUCGAAGCCCCGGUAAACGGCGGCCGUAACUAUAACGGUCCUAAGGUAGCGAAAUUCCUUGUCGGGUAAGUUCCGACCUGCACGAAUGGCGUAAUGAUGGCCAGGCUGUCUCCACCCGAGACUCAGUGAAAUUGAACUCGCUGUGAAGAUGCAGUGUACCCGCGGCAAGACGGAAAGACCCCGUGAACCUUUACUAUAGCUUGACACUGAACAUUGAGCCUUGAUGUGUAGGAUAGGUGGGAGGCUUUGAAGUGUGGACGCCAGUCUGCAUGGAGCCGGCCUUGAAAUACCACCCUUUAAUGUUUGAUGUUCUAACGUUGACCCGUGAUCCGGGUUGCGGACAGUGUCUGGUGGGUAGUUUGACUGGGGCGGUCUCCUCCUAAAGAGUAACGGAGGAGCACGAAGGUUGGCUAAUCCUGGUCGGACAUCAGGAGGUUAGUGCAAUGGCAUAAGCCAGCUUGACUGCGAGCGUGACGGCGCGAGCAGGUGCGAAAGCAGGUCAUAGUGAUCCGGUGGUUCUGAAUGGAAGGGCCAUCGCUCAACGGAUAAAAGGUACUCCGGGGAUAACAGGCUGAUACCGCCCAAGAGUUCAUAUCGACGGCGGUGUUUGGCACCUCGAUGUCGGCUCAUCACAUCCUGGGGCUGAAGUAGGUCCCAAGGGUAUGGCUGUUCGCCAUUUAAAGUGGUACGCGAGCUGGGUUUAGAACGUCGUGAGACAGUUCGGUCCCUAUCUGCCGUGGGCGCUGGAGAACUGAGGGGGGCUGCUCCUAGUACGAGAGGACCGGAGUGGACGCAUCACUGGUGUUCGGGUUGUCAUGCCAAUGGCACUGCCCGGUAGCUAAAUGCGGAAGAGAUAAGUGCUGAAAGCAUCUAAGCACGAAACUUGCCCCGAGAUGAGUUCUCCCUGACUCCUUGAGAGUCCUGAAGGAACGUUGAAGACGACGACGUUGAUAGGCCGGGUGUGUAAGCGCAGCGAUGCGUUGAGCUAACCGGUACUAAUGAACCGUGAGGCUUAACCUUACAACGCCGAAGCUGUU